CUCCCUACGGGGGCAGCAGUGAGGAAUAUUGGUCAAUGGUCGGGAGACUGAACCAGCCAAGCCGCGUGAGGGAGGAAGGUACAGAGUAUCGUAAACCUCUUUUGUCAGGGAACAAAGACUGGGACGCGUCCCCGGAUGAGUGUACCUGAAGAAAAAGCAUCGGCUAACUCCGUGCCAGCAGCCGCGGUAAUACGGAGGAUGCGAGCGUUAUCCGGAUUUAUUGGGUUUAAAGGGUGCGUAGGCGGAAUGCCAAGUCAGCGGUAAAAUCGCGGGGCUCAACCUCGCUCCGCCGUUGAAACUGGCGU
rnacentral:rRNA from 1 species